rnacentral:rRNA from 1 species
UGGGGAAUAUUGGACAAUGGGGGGAACCCUGAUCCAGCCAUGCCGCGUGUGUGAAGAAGGUCUUCGGAUUGUAAAGCACUUUAAGUUGGGAGGAAGGGCAGUAAGCGAAUACCUUGCUGUUUUGACGUUACCGACAGAAUAAGCACCGGCUAACUCUGUGCCAGCAGCCGCGGUAAUACAGGGGGUGCAAGCGUUAAUCGGAAUUACUGGGCGUAAAGCGCGCGUAGGUGGUUCGUUAAGUUGAAUGUGAAAGCCCCGGGCUCAACCUGGGAACUGCAUCCAAAACUGGCGAGCUAGAGUAGGGCAGAGGGUGGUGGAAUUUCCUGUGUAGCGGUGAAAUGCGUAGAUAUAGGAAGGAACACCAGUGGCGAAGGCGGCCACCUGGGCUCAUACUGACACUGAGGUGCGAAAGCGUGGGGAGCAAACAGG